GCCUGGGUGGCUCAGUCUGUUGAGUGUCUGACUUCAGAUCAGGUCAUGAUCUCACGGUCCGUGAGUUCGAGCCCCGCGUCGGGCU
rnacentral:tRNA from 1 species